rnacentral:rRNA from 1 species
CUGUGACGCUGGCGGCGUGCCUAAUACAUGCAAGUCGAGCGAACGGACGAGAAGCUUGCUUCUCUGAUGUUAGCGGCGGACGGGUGAGUAACACGUGGAUAACCUACCUAUAAGACUGGGAUAACUUCGGGAAACCGGAGCUAAUACCGGAUAAUAUUUUGAACCGCAUGGUUCAAAAGUGAAAGACGGUCUUGCUGUCACUUAUAGAUGGAUCCGCGCUGCAUUAGCUAGUUGGUAAGGUAACGGCUUACCAAGGCAACGAUGCAUAGCCGACCUGAGAGGGUGAUCGGCCACACUGGAACUGAGACACGGUCCAGACUCCUACGGGAGGCAGCAGUAGGGAAUCUUCCGCAAUGGGCGAAAGCCUGACGGAGCAACGCCGCGUGAGUGAUGAAGGUCUUCGGAUCGUAAAACUCUGUUAUUAGGGAAGAACAUAUGUGUAAGUAACUGUGCACAUCUUGACGGUACCUAAUCAGAAAGCCACGGCUAACUACGUGCCAGCAGCCGCGGUAAUACGUAGGUGGCAAGCGUUAUCCGGAAUUAUUGGGCGUAAAGCGCGCGUAGGCGGUUUUUUAAGUCUGAUGUGAAAGCCCACGGCUCAACCGUGGAGGGUCAUUGGAAACUGGAAAACUUGAGUGCAGAAGAGGAAAGUGGAAUUCCAUGUGUAGCGGUGAAAUGCGCAGAGAUAUGGAGGAACACCAGUGGCGAAGGCGACUUUCUGGUCUGUAACUGACGCUGAUGUGCGAAAGCGUGGGGAUCAAACAGGAUUAGAUACCCUGGUAGUCCACGCCGUAAACGAUGAGUGCUAAGUGUUAGGGGGUUUCCGCCCCUUAGUGCUGCAGCUAACGCAUUAAGCACUCCGCCUGGGGAGUACGACCGCAAGGUUGAAACUCAAAGGAAUUGACGGGGACCCGCACAAGCGGUGGAACAUGUGGUUUAAUUCGAAGCAACGCGAAGAACCUUACCAAAUCUUGACAUCCUUUGACAACUCUAGAGAUAGAGCUUUCCCCUUCGGGGGACAAAGUGACAGGUGGUGCAUGGUUGUCGUCAGCUCGUGUCGUGAGAUGUUGGGUUAAGUCCCGCAACGAGCGCAACCCUUAAGCUUAGUUGCCAUCAUUAAGUUGGGCACUCUAAGUUGACUGCCGGUGACAAACCGGAGGAAGGUGGGGAUGACGUCAAAUCAUCAUGCCCCUUAUGAUUUGGGCUACACACGUGCUACAAUGGACAAUACAAAGGGCAGCGAAACCGCGAGGUCAAGCAAAUCCCAUAAAGUUGUUCUCAGUUCGGAUUGUAGUCUGCAACUCGACUACAUGAAGCUGGAAUCGCUAGUAAUCGUAGAUCAGCAUGCUACGGUGAAUACGUUCCCGGGUCUUGUACACACCGCCCGUCACACCACGAGAGUUUGUAACACCCGAAGCCGGUGGAGUAACCUUUUAGGAGCUAGCCGUCGAAGGUGGGACAAAG